rnacentral:rRNA from 1 species
UACGUAGGGUGCGAGCGUUGUCCGGAAUUAUUGGGCGUAAAGGGCUCGUAGGCGGUCUGUCACGUCGGGAGUGAAAACUCGGGGCUUAACCCCGAGCCUGCUUCCGAUACGGGCAGACUAGAGGUAUGCAGGGGAGAACGGAAUUCCUGGUGUAGCGGUGAAAUGCGCAGAUAUCAGGAGGAACACCGGUGGCGAAGGCGGAUCUCUGGGCCUUGCCUGACGCUGAGGCGCGAAAGCUAGGGGAGCGAACAGG